UGUCUCCCUACUCAGACAUUGCAUGCAUCAACCAAUGGUUGCAUGGCAAUACAUCAACAUCGACUGACAGAUUGCUUUAACAUUUGAUGCGGUUAGCUGAUACGUAAAAUACCUAUCCAGGCGAGGUAAGAUCUGGCAGGCGUCAGAUGAAAUUAACAAAAAGCCACUCACUUAUUUUGUGUGUAAAACCUAUCCUCCUCUAAUAAGCUGCUGGAGCAAAACAACAAGCCCAUCCCUCCCCCUGUGUCAUCGAUGGCCAGCCAGCGUACAUGAUGAGACGUCUCCUGAGGGUUCGACCACGAGGCAGGGGUUUCCCGUACCUGGUUGAUGGUCCGGAGGAGAAGUGCUUGGUUCCCGCUAAAGACAUCUUGGACCCGGCCCUCAUCGCCGACUUUCACCGCCGGCACCCCAGUCAACCAGGCCCACUUUCACUAUGUGCUGGGGAAGUUGUUCUAUGCUUAGCUGACAGAGACAGGAGAUACAAGAGCCCACUGUGUUCCAAGGACCUUGGCUCUCCUCUAUGCACAGCACUCUGGGGAAUUCCUACAGAUGCACAAUUGAGAGCAUCCUGUCGGGCUGAAUCACCGCCUGGUACGGCAACUGCACCA